rnacentral:rRNA from 1 species
UACGAAGGGGGCUAGCGUUGCUCGGAAUCACUGGGCGUAAAGGGUGCAUAGGCGGGUCUUUAAGUCAGGGGUGAAAUCCUGGAGCUCAACUCCAGAACUGCCUUUGAUACUGAAGAUCUUGAGUUCGGGAGAGGUGAGUGGAACUGCGAGUGUAGAGGUGAAAUUCGUAGAUAUUCGCAAGAACACCAGUGGCGAAGGCGGCUCACUGGCCCGAUACCUGACGCUGACGGCACGAA